rnacentral:rRNA from 1 species
CUUGCUUCUACAUCACCUAGCGGCGGACGGGUGAGUAACACGUAGGCAACCUGCCCACAAGACAGGGAUAACUACCGGAAACGGUAGCUAAUACCCGAUACAUCCUUUUCCUGCAUGGGAGAAGGAGGAAAGACGGAGCAAUCUGUCACUUGUGGAUGGGCCUGCGGCGCAUUAGCUAGUUGGUGGGGUAAAGGCCUACCAAGGCGACGAUGCGUAGCCGACCUGAGAGGGUGAUCGGCCACACUGGGACUGAGACACGGCCCAGACUCCUACGGGAGGCAGCAGUAGGGAAUCUUCCGCAAUGGGCGAAAGCCUGACGGAGCAACGCCGCGUGAGUGAUGAAGGUUUUCGGAUCGUAAAGCUCUGUUGCCAGGGAAGAACGCUUGAGAGAGUAACUGCUCUUGAGGUGACGGUACCUGAGAAGAAAGCCCCGGCUAACUACGUGCCAGCAGCCGCGGUAAUACGUAGGGGGCAAGCGUUGUCCGGAAUUAUUGGGCGUAAAGCGCGCGCAGGCGGCUCUUUAAGUCUGGUGUUUAAUCCCGAGGCUCAACUUCGGGUCGCACUGGAAACUGGGGAGCUUGAGUGCA